GAUGAAGAACGUAGCGAAAUGCGAUAAGUAAUGUGAAUCGCAGAAUUCAGUGAAUCAUCGAAUCUUUGAACGCACAUUGCGCCCCUUGGUAUUCCGAGGGGCAUGCCUGUUCGAGCGUCAUUAUAACCCCUCAAGCUCAGCUUGGUGUUGGGGCCUGCCGCACGGGCAGCCCUUAAAAUCAGUGGCGGUGCCAUCUGGCUCUAAGCGUAGUAAUUCUUCUCGCUAUAGAGUCCCGGUGGAUGCUUGCCAUUAACCCCCAAUUUUCUAUGGUUGACCUCGGAUCAGGUAGGGAUACCCGCUGAACUUAAGCAUAUCAAUAAGCGGAGGA
rnacentral:misc_RNA from 1 species